ACUACGGGAGGCAGCAGUGGGGAAUAUUGGGCAAUGGGCGCAAGCCUGACCCAGCAACGCCGCGUGAAGGCAGAAGGCUUUCGGGUUGUAAACUUCUUUUCUCAGGGACGAAGCAAGUGACGGUACCUGAGGAAUAAGCCACGGCUAACUACGUGCCAGCAGCCGCGGUAAUACGUAGGUGGCAAGCGUUAUCCGGAUUUACUGGGUGUAAAGGGCGUGUAGGCGGGACUGCAAGUCAGAUGUGAAAACCACGGGCUCAACCUGUGGCCUGCAUUUGAAACUGUAGUUCUUGAGUGCUGGAGAGGCAAUCGGAAGUCCGUGUGCAGCGGUGAAAUGCGUAGAUAUACGGAGGAACACCAGUGGCGAAGGCGGAUUGCUGGACAGUAACUGACGCUGAGGCGCGAAAGCGUGGGGAGCAAACAGGAUUAGAUACCCUUGUAGUC
rnacentral:rRNA from 1 species